ACAUAAAAAGAAUUUUAUAGGACAGAUAAUUCCAAGGACAAAUAUACGAGCAUAUUUUGACGUUGAACGGAGGCUGUUGUGUUUGUUAUCAUUAAAAUAUUUUUGCAACUUUCAAGGGACGGGAAAAUGUUUACGAACAGCUUGCUGUUUGCUUCGUGAGAUGUUCACUUUUCAGAGCUCUUUGGUACGACUUUAUGAACAAACAAACCUCUCAUCUUGUAACAAUACCUAGACGCUCUUUCGUCUUGAAUUCAAUUAUGAAUAAAUACCUUCAUAGCCCUUGAUGUAUGAUUUGGAAAAUGGGGAGUAUUACGAUUAUAUGAUGCGUUUAGACCAAUCGCGCGCCAGAAAAGCUUUGAUAGCAGUGUAUUCGAAUGAUAAUCUCACAUUAAUUCAACACUUUAAAAAUAAAAAUGGAAAAAAAAGGUUUAUAUGACUGCAAAACACAAAUCAUCAAAUUAAUUUGUGGUUUUCGCUUCAAAUCGACGAUUUUUCUUUUUGAUUCGACCCAAACAGUCGCAGCUUGGAGCGUUGACUUUUUAUUUAAUUAUUUGUUAGUUUACUGAUCAUCGUUGUUUUUCAUCGCAGGGUGACAAGCGUUUGGCAUUUCCUUGGCUUGGGUGGAGCAUAUUCCAGCUCUUUUUCAGUUUUGGAGUGGUGAUAUUUUACAUUGCCAUCUGGGAGGGGUUUGCCGUCUUCUUACUUAUCACGAGCAUUGCAUGGUUGCUUUCGAUCUACUUCAUCGUGGUGGUGUAUUCGUACAUCGAAGCCCUUCGUGAAGAUCCUUCGGGAACGAGUGCAGGAUUUUCUCCCCCUCUGCCAGGCGGUAACCAAACCCAGAGGGUAAUUACAUUUCCGUUGCUGUAAUGCUACAUGACCUUCGCAGUCAAAUUUGC